rnacentral:rRNA from 1 species
AUUGAACGCUGGCGGCAUGCCUUACACAUGCAAGUCGAACGGCAGCGGGGGAGAAGCUUGCUUUUCCUGCCGGCGAGUGGCGAACGGGUGAGUAAUACAUCGGAACGUGCCCUGUAGGGGGGGAUAACUAGUCGAAAGAUUAGCUAAUACCGCAUACGACCUGAGGGUGAAAGCGGGGGACCGCAAGGCCUCAUGCUAUAGGAGCGGCCGAUGUCCGAUUAGCUAGUUGGUGGGGUAAAGGCCUACCAAGGCGACGAUCAGUAGCUGGUCUGAGAGGACGAUCAGCCACACUGGGACUGAGACACGGCCCAGACUCCUACGGGAGGCAGCAGUGGGGAAUUUUGGACAAUGGGCGAAAGCCUGAUCCAGCAAUGCCGCGUGUGUGAAGAAGGCCUUCGGGUUGUAAAGCACUUUUGUCCGGAAAGAAAUGGCUCUGGUUAAUACCUGGGGUCGAUGACGGUACCGGAAGAAUAAGGACCGGCUAACUACGUGCCAGCCGCCGCCGUAA